rnacentral:lncRNA from 10 species
UAUGCCCUUUAAAGCAAGUAGAGCACAUUACUCAUCACUCAAUCUCCAGGACCAAGUUAAUGUUCUGUAUAUAGUAAUGUCGACAGCAACAUCUCCCCCAGGUGUAACAACUAAACGUGUCUCCAGACAUUGGCAAAUAUCCUUGGGCCAUGGAGAAAACAUCACCUUCAAUUGAAAACCACUGGGCCACUCUAAUGCCUUCAAGGGACAGAUCCCAGGUCUAAACCCUAGCCAAAACCCCUUGUGUUAGAGGAGCUCACCCUUUACUGCUGAUGAAAUCUCCAUGAUGAAGUGCUUUCCUGGUGACACCCAGAGAUCGUUUGCUAUGUGAAUGCUUUUCUUGCUCAAAUUUCAACAAACAUGAUUGGUAGGUGCUCUAUUUAGGCUGUAUAGAAAGCACCAGAACAUAGCGUGAUGGAGGCAGCAUGAACUCCUCAAAAUUGCCAAUACCAGCUCUAAAAUGAAAACAUACAUUAUCUUCAUACAUCAGAAGAAUGAAUACUGUUAAAAUUACCUUACUACUCAAAGUGAUCCACAGAUUUAAUGCAAUCUCCAUCAAAUGACAUUCUUCACAGAAAUAGAAAAAGUGAUCCUAAAAUCUGUGUAGAACCGUAACACUUUGAAUAGACAAAGUAAUCUAAGGAAAAAGAACAAAGCUGGAGACAUCACAUAACCUGACUUCAAAAUAUACUACAAGGCUACAAUAACAGAAACAACAUGAUAUUUGUAUGAAAGCAGACACAUAGACCAAUGAAACAGAAUAGAGAACCCAGAAAAAAAUCCACAUAUUUAUAGCCAAAAUAUCUUUUGACAAAGUGCCAAAAACAUACAUUAGGGAAAAGACACCAUCAUUGAUAAAUGAUACUAGAGAAAUUGGAUAUCCAUAUGCAGAAAAAUGAAGCUAGACCCCUAUCUCUCACCAUAUACAUAUAAAAAUCAACUCAAAAUGGAUUCAAGACUUAGAUGUAGACCAGAAAAUUUUUACUAUAAAAAAGACCAGAAACUAUAAAACUACUGGAAGAAAAUAUAGGGGGAAAAUGUUAGGAUACUGGCCUACGUAAAGAUAUUAUGACUAAGACUUCAAAAGCACAGGCAACAAAAACAAAAAUUGACAAGUGGGACUACAUGAAACUAAAAGGUUCUUGCACAGCAAAGGAAACAGUCAACAGAGUGAAGAGACAACCUGUAGAACAGAAGAAAGUAUUUGCAAACUAGUCAUCCAACAAUGAACUAAUAUCUAUAUUAUACAAGGAUCUCAAACGAUUCAAUAAAGAAGUUUUGAAGUGCUCAUUCUUUCCAAAUGUUUGUUAUCUAUGCUGGAUCUUGAUGAGAGGAAG